CGUUAUAACCGGCGAUUUCCGAAUGGGGAAACCCAGUGUGUUUCGACACACUAUCAUUAACUGAAUCCAUAGGUUAAUGAGGCGAACCGGGGGAACUGAAACAUCUAAGUACCCCGAGGAAAAGAAAUCAACCGAGAUUCCCCCAGUAGCGGCGAGCGAACGGGGAGGAGCCCAGAGCCUGAAUCAGUGUGUGUGUUAGUGGAAGCGUCUGGAAAGGCGCGCGAUACAGGGUGACAGCCCCGUACACAAAAAUGCACAUAUUGUGAGCUCGAUGAGUAGGGCGGGACACGUGGUAUCCUGUCUGAAUAUGGGGGGACCAUCCUCCAAGGCUAAAUACUCCUGACUGACCGAUAGUGAACCAGUACCGUGAGGGAAAGGCGAAAAGAACCCCGGCGAGGGGAGUGAAAAAGAACCUGAAACCGUGUACGUACAAGCAGUGGGAGCCUCUUAAUGGGGUGACUGCGUACCUUUUGUAUAAUGGGUCAGCGACUUAUAUUCUGUAGCAAGGUUAACCGAAUAGGGGAGCCGAAGGGAAACCGAGUCUUAACUGGGCGUUAAGUUGCAGGGUAUAGACCCGAAACCCGGUGAUCUAGCCAUGGGCAGGUUGAAGGUUGGGUAACACUAACUGGAGGACCGAACCGACUAAUGUUGAAAAAUUAGCGGAUGACUUGUGGCUGGGGGUGAAAGGCCAAUCAAACCGGGAGAUAGCUGGUUCUCCCCGAAAGCUAUUUAGGUAGCGCCUCGUGAAUUCAUCUCCGGGGGUAGAGCACUGUUUCGGCAAGGGGGUCAUCCCGACUUACCAACCCGAUGCAAACUGCGAAUACCGGAGAAUGUUAUCACGGGAGACACACGGCGGGUGCUAACGUCCGUCGUGAAGAGGGAAACAACCCAGACCGCCAGCUAAGGUCCCAAAGUCAUGGUUAAGUGGGAAACGAUGUGGGAAGGCCCAGACAGCCAGGAUGUUGGCUUAGAAGCAGCCAUCAUUUAAAGAAAGCGUAAUAGCUCACUGGUCGAGUCGGCCUGCGCGGAAGAUGUAACGGGGCUAAACCAUG
rnacentral:rRNA from 1 species